GGGGAAUUUUGGACAAUGGGCGAAAGCCUGAUCCAGCCAUUCCGCGUGAGUGAAGAAGGCCUUCGGGUUGUAAAGCUCUUUCGGCAGGAACGAAAAGGUACGGGUCAAUACCCUGUGCCGAUGACGGUACCUGAAGAAGAAGCACCGGCUAACUACGUGCCAGCAGCCGCGGUAAUACGUAGGGUGCGAGCGUUAAUCGGAAUUACUGGGCGUAAAGCGUGCGCAGGUGGUUGUUUAAGACAGAUGUGAAAUCCCCGGGCUCAACCUGGGAACUGCGUUUGUGACUGGACAGCUAGAGUAUGGCAGAGGGGGGUGGAAUUCCACGUGUAGCAGUGAAAUGCGUAGAGAUGUGGAGGAACACCGAUGGCGAAGGCAGCCCCCUGGGCCAAUACUGACGCUCAUGCACGAAAGCGUGGGGAGCAAAC
rnacentral:rRNA from 1 species